rnacentral:tRNA from 1 species
GGCGAUUAGCUCAGUUGGGAGAGCACCUGCCUUACAAGCAGGGGGUCACUGGUUCGAACCCGGUAUCGCCCACCA